rnacentral:rRNA from 1 species
AAGGCUUGACAUAUAGCGAAAAGUGGCAGAGAUGUCAUGUCCGCAAGGGCGCUAUACAGGUGGUGCAUGGUUGUCGUCAGCUCGUGUCGUGAGAUGUUGGGUUAAGUCCCGCAACGAGCGCAACCCUCGUUCUGUGUUACCAGCAUUCAGUUGGGGACUCACAGGAGACUGCCGGGGUCAACUCGGAGGAAGGUGGGGAUGACGUCAAAUCAUCAUGCCCCUUAUGUCUUGGGCUGCACGCAUGCUACAAUGGCCGGUACAAAGUGCUGCGAGAUCGUAAGAUUGAGCGAAUCACAUAAAGCCGGUCUCAGUUCGGAUUGAGGUCUGCAACUCGACCUCAUGAAGUCGGAGUUGCUAGUAAUCGUAGAUCAGCAACGAACGG